rnacentral:rRNA from 1 species
CGGACGUGAGGAACCUGCCUUGAAGAGGGGGACAACAGUUGGAAACGACUGCUAAUACCGCAUGACGCAUAGGGGUCGCAUGAUUCUUAUGCCAAAGAUUUAUCGCUUCAAGAUGGCCUCGCGUCUGAUUAGCUAGUUGGCGGGGUAACGGCCCACCAAGGCGACGAUCAGUAGCCGGACUGAGAGGUUGAACGGCCACAUUGGGACUGAGAUACGGCCCAG